UACGAAGGGGCUAGCGUUGCUCGGAAUCACUGGGCGUAAAGCGCACGUAGGCGGAUUGUUAAGUCAGGGGUGAAAUCCUGGAGCUCAACUCCAGAACUGCCUUUGAUACUGGCGAUCUUGAGUCCGGGAGAGGUGAGUGGAACUGCGAGUGUAGAGGUGAAAUUCGUAGAGUAUUCGCAAGAACACCAGUGGCGAAGGCGGACUCACUGGCCCGGUACUGACGCUGAGGUGCGAAAGCUAGGG
rnacentral:rRNA from 1 species